rnacentral:lncRNA from 1 species
GACAUUAAGAAUGCUGUUUGCAGAAGUAACAUUCCUUUGAACACUCAGCUUUCUGAAAUGGUGUCCCACCACAAGGACUGGAGAAGGGUAAACCUCAGGUUCUCCUCCUGCCUUUUGCUAAGUAUAUGUCUUGAUGACAAGCCUUCUGCUAAUGAGCUGUGUUUCUGGACCGAUCAUGGUAGAAGUCAAUUGAAGUGUCCCUCACUUGGGGUUUCUUAAGGGUAUGUUACCACAAAGACUCUCAUACUCCCUUUUUUGUGAUCUCCCUUUCCCAUUCUACACUUGUGUGCUGAAUCUGUUCAGCAUUACAGUUAGUGCACUUACAUGUCCACUAAAAAGUGGAAAUUAAUUUAAUUACCAAUGAAGUAACAAGAACUUAGUUUGGCAAUGGAUUUCUUCUAUAAUCCAAAGCCAAGUUACCUUUCCACUCCUGGCUCUAAAGAUUGCUCAACUGUGUAAAUCAUCUGUGCCACAUGAAAUAACUCAAAGUACGUUCUUUCACCUCCUACUCAUUCUAUGUACACCAAAUAAAACUCCACAUCUUUUGGAGAGUUCAUUCACUGUUCAGAGAAGGCUGUGAGGUAUGCAUGAUAUUUAAUCCAGAAGGAAUUCAAGUGAUGUUUGUUUUAGAAAUAGAAAGCAAAGAAUGAUUAUGCUGCAAAUAUUAUCAUGAAGACAUUUAUAAGUAUAUUACAAAUGCAUGUUUCCCCCCAAAUAAUUGACGAAACACUAUUACUUGCCUUUAAAAUAAUGCACAAUUAAUGA